GAUGAACGCUGGCGGCGUGCCUAAUACAUGCAAGUCGAGCGAACGGACGAGAAGCUUGCUUCUCUGAUGUUAGCGGCGGACGGGUGAGUAACACGUGGAUAACCUACCUAUAAGACUGGGAUAACUUCGGGAAACCGUAGCUAAUACCGGAUAAUAUUUUGAACCGCAUGGUUCAAAAGUGAAAGACGGUCUUGCUGUCACUUCUAGAUGGAUCCGCGCUGCAUUAGCUAGUUGGUAAGGUAACGGCUUACCAAGGCAACGAUGCAUAGCCGACCUGAGAGGGUGAUCGGCCACACUGGAACUGGGACACGGUCCAGACUCCUACGGGAGGCAGCAGUAGGGAAUCUUCCGCAAUGGGCGAAAGCCUGACGGAGCAACGCCGCGUGAGUGAUGAAGGUCUUCGGAUCGUAAAACUCUGUUAUUAGGGAAGAACAUAUGUGUAAGUAACUGUGCACAGCUUGACGGUACCUAAUCAGAAAGCCACGGCUAACUACGUG
rnacentral:rRNA from 1 species